rnacentral:rRNA from 1 species
CACGUAGGGUGCGAGCGUUGUCCGGAAUUAUUGGGCGUAAAGAGCUCGUAGGCGGUGUGUCGCGUCGGCCGUGAAAACCUACAGCUUAACUGUGGGCUUGCGGUCGAUACGGGCAUCACUGGAGUUCGGCAGGGGGAGACUGGAAUUCCUGGUGUAGCGGUGAAAUGCGCAGAUAUCAGGAGGAACACCGGUGGCGAAGGCGGGUC